GGAGGGUGCGAGCGUUAAUCGGAAUUACUGGGCGUAAAGCGCGCGUAGGCGGUUUGUUAAGUCAGCUGUGAAAGCCCCGGGCUCGACCUGGGAACUGCAGUUGAUACUGACCGACUGGAGUACGAGAGAGGGAGGUAGAAUUCCAUGUGUAGCGGUGAAAUGCGUAGAUAUAUGGAGGAAUACCAGUGGCGAAGGCGGCCUCCUGGCUCGAUACUGACGCUGAGGUGCGAAAGCGUGGGGAUCAAACAGGAUUAGAUACCCUGGUAGUCCACGCUGUAAACGAUGUCUACUAGCCGUUGGGAGACUUGAUUUCUUAGUGGCGCAGCUAACGCUUUAAGUAGACCGCCUGGGGAGUACGGCCGCAA
rnacentral:rRNA from 1 species